rfam:Triticum aestivum genome assembly, contig: Triticum_aestivum_CS42_TGACv1_scaffold_016910_1AL
GCUCAGUUGGUAAAGCGCAAGGCUCUUAACCUUGUGGACGUGGAUUCAAGUCCCAU